rnacentral:RNase_P_RNA from 18 species
UGACUAAAUCAGAUAAUCGCAUGAAUUCAUGAGGAAAGUCCGUGCACUAUAGAGCGAGGAUGCUGGAUAACGUCCAGUGGGGGCGACCCUAAGGCUAGUGCAACAGAGAUAUACCGCCAUUUAAUGGUAAGGGUGGAAAGGUAGGGUAAGAGCCUACCAGCAUAAAGGUGACUUUAUGGCUAUGUAAACCCCAUUCAGUGCAAAAUCAAAUAGGAAUAAAGACGGCUGCUCGUCGUCUCCGGUAGGUAGAUUGCUUGAACUAAUUGGUAACAAUUAGUCUAGAUAGAUGAUUAUCAAAUACAGAACACGGCUUAUAGAUUUGGUCAUAAA